AGCAGUGUGGCUCAGUGGAAAGAGCACGGGCUGGGAACUCGGAGGUCGUGGGUUCAAAUCCCAGCUCCACCU
rnacentral:tRNA from 1 species